UUCCGGUUGAUCCUGCCAGAAGUUACUGCUAUCGAGGUUCGACUAAGCCAUGCGAGUCGAAUGUAGCAAUACAUGGCGUACUGCUCAGUAACACGUGGAUAACCUACCCUUGAGACGGGGAUAAACCCGGGAAACUGGGUAUAAUACCCGAUAGAUCUCGACUGCUGGAAUGCAUCGAGCUUGAAAGCUCCGGCGCUCAAGGAUGGGUCUGCGGCCUAUCAGGUAGUAGUGGGUGUAGCGUACCUACUAGCCUACGACGGGUACGGGUUGUGAGAGCAAGAGCCCGGAGAUGGAUUCUGAGACACGAAUCCAGGCCCUACGGGGUGCAGCAGGCGCGAAAACUUUACAAUGCUGGAAACAGCGAUAAGGGGACCUCGAGUGCCAGGUUACAAAUCUGGCUGUCGUGAUGCCUAAAAAGCAUUGCAUAGCAAGGGCCGGGCAAGACCGGUGCCAGCCGCCGCGGUAACACCGGCGGCUCGAGUGGUAACCGUUAUUAUUGGGUCUAAAGGGUCUGUAGCCGGCCGGAUAAGUCUCUUGGGAAAUCUGGCAGCUUAACUGUCAGGCUUUCAGGAGAUACUGUCUGGCUCGAGGCCGGGAGAGGUGAGAGGUACUUCAGGGGUAGGGGUGAAAUCUUGUAAUCCUUGAAGGACCACCAGUGGCGAAGGCGUCUCACCAGAACGGACCUGACGGCAAGGGACGAAAGCUAGGGGCACGAACCGGAUUAGAUACCCGGGUAGUCCUAGCCGUAAACGAUACUCGCUAGGUGUCGGCAACGGUGCGACCGUUGUC
rnacentral:rRNA from 1 species